GAAAUUCAAACCACUAAAUAAAAGGUAUGUGAGCAAAAAUUUGAUCAAGUACCGUCUUAUUGAAGCUAGAUACUCUUCUUUUGUUACGUUCUGCAUUAUUUGAAUCUCUUUCUCAUAGUUGGAUAUCUGAUAAUGUACUCAAUUGAUCAGUAACAAUGAGCAAAUUAAUCUGCUUCUGAUUGGCAAUUUUGCUGAACAUACACACACUGUGUAUGACAAGUAUUAGUUCUAGAACAUUCAUAAUAAUUGGAUUCAUUGUCCCGUAAUAAUCCUAAUUGCUUGUACCUAAUUCAUUGCUCAAAAUGGUGAAAUCUUGGGUACUUGUUGGCUUGAGAUUAAACUAAUUAAAACAAUCAAAGCCUUUUCUUUCAUUCUCAAAAAAGUCAUUGUAAUUUGCAGUGCAGAUAACAUUAAAAAAGAAUACAAUAAGCCACCCAAUUGCCAUUCAUCUUUAGUCGUCGUGAUUGAUAGAUGCUUCUUUAUUUGGAUGGCUUUUUCCAAAGAACACAGGCAGGCACACACAAGGUUUUCCUUCCAUUCAAAUUUUAAUGGGAGUCGGAUAAGUUUCCUGGAAAUACCGGGAAAUUUGUGAAAGUGGUAGGUCCCCAGUACUUUAUUGCCGCUAGAUCGUAUGCUCUUGCUGCUGCUUCCUCCUCGUUAUAGGCACCAAGAUAAACUGCUUGUAUUGGCAGACAGUUCCAAUGCCCAAGAAGAGAUAACAGGAUGUUAAUAUGAAUAUAAUAUAUAUUUAAUGAUAUUAAAGAUAUAGGGCAAGCCCAAGUCCUUAAGAUAAUCCAGAAGAAUUAUGUGGAAAGUUUACCUUGCUUUCCUUUCUUCUUUUGUGUCGCAUUCCAAGACCCCUUGUCCCACAAAUGGGCUUCAAAACGGCCAGUCCAUCGGUGCCUGUCCAGUGAACUACUGUUAGUUUAUGGUAAAAGAUAAGCAAUUAUUAAAUUUUCUCGUAAGCUUCUUCUGUUUCGACAAAAAAUGGAUCUGCACCAGUGUGCAGCAUCAAUAAAUUGGUAAAUCUAUUGUUUUCUAUGAUUAGCUAUCUUAUCUCUGUUUAUCUAUUGGCCAUCUCUUAAAAUACCCUUUUCUAAUUGACCAUUAAGAUGCUAUUGGAGAAUUCACUAUUGACCUACCAGCUUAUCUUUUUACUAGUCAUCACGAAGAUUCACAUAUUCUAGCAGACUAGCACUCACCACCUGCUCUUUCUCACAAGUUGCGUGCUCUCUCUCUCUCUCUCUCUCACUCUCACGCACAUUCAUGCACACGCGCACCGCCCAAAGGAUAAAAUUCCUCACCUGCUAACCCCUCGAAACCUUGAACUCCUUUUGAUGGUGCUGGUUGUGGCAGACUGAUCAUGCAUCGGUCCGUUGGAAACAUUUAUAGUUGAUAGCAGUGCAGGUCCGCCGCGCCUCCUCUUAACACACUUCAUUCCAUCAGGACCAACCGAUGCUCUCACAGGCUGACCUGAGAGGUGCUUCCCAUUGCUGUUUAGCUCACUCUUCACCGACACAUUCAAUUGCAUUCUUCCUUUCUAAUAACGGUCCCCCUAAAGCUCUCAGUGGCGGCAAGUAACCUCACGAGGAUGGCUGGUAUGAGCUUUCUAGACUAGACAGGCGUAAUGUAUAUGUGUAGAUAAGGUUAAACUAUGGUUUGUGUGUUUUUGUUUUUAGCGGACAGCAGGAGACGAUGAUUUCAAGACUAUUUCUAACAAAUAUGUUUUGUCCUUUGUGGGACUGGCUUUAGUACAAGAAAUAUAUAGGAGUAUAUUUAUUCCGAAGAUGUAACGAAAUUCUCUAAUAUGCCAAGAGAAAGUAGAGGAGGUACUUUUCCAAGUUCGUCGAACAGAUUUCUUUUUUCACUUUAUUAUGUUGUUGGUUUAAUGAUCAAGCGGUUGAUGAUUGGUGCGGGUGAUCAGCACUCACAAGCCCCAGAGAUUUGUAAACAAUAUUUAGACAUGCAAAAUUACAUAACCAUUUUUGUUUCAGGGAAAAAUUACCCGACCUCUUUGCAUUUUGUGGCCAAGUAUUCUGAGCCAUACCUUGGUUGUAUCACAGCCUGCACCUUUGAGGUCGCUUUCUCUACGACGGUGUUAGAAAGCCUUUUGGAACCACUUCACAUAAAAUCACCCAGGAGUCAUUGGCUAGGCCAGCUGGACCAAGAGAGCUAAAUACUUAUUAAAAAUCGGACUGUCUUAUCCUAACAAUCAGAUAUCCAAUGCAAUUCCACGAUGUAACAAGGCUACAAAAGGGAAAGUGGAUGCAUCCACUUGGCAUAUUAGAGGAAGAAAUUGUUGCAUAAAUUCGAGUCCAAGCCCAACGACCUCUACUUUCUCCUCGCUGGCACGGCCAUGUAGGAUGAAUUGUGCAUGGCUCUCGAGGAUGCGUCUGCUGGGACGAAGAAUGAGGUGAGGCAGACGUGACUUGAAGCGCAUAAACGACGUUUUUUUUUCUUUUUGAUAGGAUAAACGACCUUCUUGAAUGAAUCGCCUAUUCAACUUCUCUUUUAUUUUUAUAUAAAUCUUGAUCGUUUGCGUGUUUGAUAAUCUACAGUCUGGCCGAGGACAUGCCAAGCUCGUUGCUUCCAAUGCAUUUUGUUGGUAAUAUGUUUUUGGAUUAUAGCAUACUAUUUAUAUCAAUGCUUUGUCCAUUGUAGACUAAUUUCUUUUUUUAUUAAUACAGUGGGGAUGCUAUUCUGAGGGUUCAACUAUGGAACCUUUUUAUAUGAUGCGUUGAGAAUAGGAGCGCAAAAAACCAGUCCUUUUUUUUUUGAUGAAAUCGACGCUAGGGAGACUUGCCUCCUAAGCCACUAGCUUUGUUGACAGAGAAGUGUACAACAGGAGCAGCAACAUGAAACAAUGUACAGAAACCAGAAAACCAAGAUCAAAGUAUGCAAUCAGCUACAAUGAAAAGAGAGUAUGAAACAGUGAAAGUAGUCUGAACAGCGAGAAGAAUUGGAAGGGCAGACCUGGUCGAAACAGAGGAAAUAGUCUGAUAUAAUGUCAUGAAAGACAUGUUCAGAAUUACGACGACCAGAAGUAAAAAAGGAUGUAGAUGGAAAUGAAAGGUAAUUAAUAAUUUUGAAAAUAAAAAAAAAAUGAUAUAAAUAGAGAUGGAAGGAGAUUAAUCG
rnacentral:lncRNA from 1 species